GGUAUGAGAAUAACAUGGGCCUCAAUUUAAUUACAGCCCUGAGCCACUAAUGAUGGGCUUCAAUUUUACUCAUAGUGGGCCAAAGUUUUGUGCGCAUCAAAGCUUCUUUUCCGUUGUCCCUUGUGCGGCUUUUGUUUCCUUUGGUCUCACUAUUGCAUCCUUGUACCUCCCAAUACAAUUGCAUUUCAUAAUGAGAUUUUCGGAAUGUAAUGGAAGAUACAAUACCGGGAUUGCAGGAUGUAAUAGCCCCCUUGUGCUCUUUAUUGUAUGUUGACAUUGAGCUAGCUUCUGGGCUUGCACCAAUUUUGUUAAUUGAUUCGUAUCACGGGCUCUCUGUGGAAUAAAAAAAACAUAUAAUUGAUCUGCUUUUUUUUAUCCAUAUAUAUAUAUAUAUAUAUAUAUAUAUAUAUAUAUAUAUAUAUAUAUAUAUAUAUUCAUUUUAUAUCUAAGCCAGCCAUCAAUUUGCACCAUUUAUGCUCCUUGUCUUUUGCACACUCCCAUAUUCCAAUUAUUAUUAUGAUCACAAUAUCAUCAUCCAAACACUUCUUUGUUUGUGUUACCGAAUGCGCGUGAGCCCAAUCCUUGGUCAUCUUUCUUAAAUUCAAAAGCAUCUAUGAAGUUGUUAAUUUUGAUACUACGAUUAUUACAAAUUCACACUGAAACAGAGUAUAAUUGUCCAAAGGAAUCUUAGGCUUUGCCUCAAAGGUUGUAGUCCAAAUUACAUACACGCAUGCACACACAUGUUUUUAUUGACUUAAAUGUCAAACUGUCUAAGUAGAUACUACAAUCAUUGUUAAUGUAAUUCAAAUUUUUGAGAAAUUUUUUGAGUGUCGGAUUAUCUUUACGGAUAUCAAAGUCGUAUUUAUGCAAUUUAGAUUCCUAAAAAAUUUCAUUUAGAAUCAACUAAUUCAAUCAAAUUUCUUGUUACAAAAUCAAAUGAUCAUUUCAAAAUUCAAACUAUCAAGUUGAUAUAACAAAUCAAUUUGCAUAUAAUUCGAAACUGGAAUCUUAUUCUUCUUAGGAAGAACAAUUUGAUUGACUCAUCAUGAUGCUAAUUUCAAUGUCAAAUUUGUUAUCGAGUAAUUUAAAUACAUAUUAUAAUCAUGAUAUAGCAUAUUCUUACUUUUUUCUCAAAAUCCUUUUACAUUGAAAUAACUAUAAACCCAACAUAUACUCAGUGAUGUCCAAGUAAUUUGAGUUUCAUGCUAUCAUCGUGUACCUAUAAUUACAAUUUAAUUUGGUAGAUACUUUUCUUCAAAUAAAAGAUUUUAGUAUGCCCUAAAAUUACUAAAAGCACUUACGAAUUUGAGUCUUUUACUAAAAUGUAUUAAAAUUACUAAUGUGCUGAGAUACUUGAAGGCAAAACAAAAGAGUAGCCAAACUCAUGGAUGGACUUGGUUCAAACCACUUACACAAAUCUGCAAAUUAAAAGCAGACGUACAAAAUUCUCUAUUGCAAAAUUACAGAAGGCACUGAAUAUCACUACAAAAAUAGGGUUCUGAACUUUGGCAUGGGAUGGGAAUCUAAUGAUAUGAUAAUCGUACAGUUGAAGCCUUAGCAUAAACAUCAAUAUCCAAAAUUCUCCAACUUACUACAAAUACUCUCAGUUGGAUGUGAAAUUGUUCUGGACAAGAAGAAUUGAAAAGCAAUGGUUUCUAAGUGAGGAGGAUGCGAAACCUUUUUGUGUGGAAUCAUGGCAGGGGCAAACUCAACACAAGGUAUCAAGAACUUGGUGUCUUUUGCCAUGGCACUCACUGAACCCUACACGUGCAAAGAUUUUUCACCUUACUCACUUCAGUAACUGCAAGUUGAGUUGCAACAAUUUCCUAGAUUAACUUUUGAGUACAGAAAAAAAACUGUUUAAUGGUAUUAUAGUUAUGACUGUGUGCGUCUGAAACUGGAGUUAAGAGGGAUACUAGCGAGGCUUCCUUU
rnacentral:lncRNA from 1 species